rnacentral:lncRNA from 1 species
GUCACUCGGAAGAUCCUCUCGAUCUCCUUCAACCACUUCUGAGCACCAUCUGGAUCGUACGCUCCCUUGAACAUUGGAGGGUUGUUCUUCUGGAACUCACUCAGUUGACGAGCAGCUCCCAUUCCCAUAACAUUCGGAUUUCCUCCAAGUACUCCAGCUAGCAUACCCAGAGCCUCAGCAAUCGCAGCAUCGUCUCUACCCCUUCCAGCCAUCUCUAUUCUGAAAACCCAACAAGCUAAACAAUAAGUACUGAUAGGGUUACAUAACACCUAUCCCGUACAGGGGAACAUAAUAAUUACGACUCGACUCGACCGAC